rnacentral:lncRNA from 1 species
GAAAACCUGAGAUGGCUUUGAGCAUUAUCUCAUUCUCGUAUCACCUCUGAAUUCUUGGACAAGCCUGAGGGUGUCGAAUGACCGAAGUUAAGUUGCACAGAAUAGGCAGUAAUGAAGAUAAGGAUUGAACCCAGGACAUACCAACUUAAGUCUAUACCACACAGCAGGUAGCUCUAACUGUAGGGAGUGUUCUAUGUAUGCGUGUGGUGUACACAUAUUCUACUUUUCAUGUGAUGAGGCUUAGGCGUGUGUGGUAUGCAUGUAUGUGCAUGUUCUUGAUGAAUGUAUUCUGUGACUGUGCACGGACAGUUCAGAACUAUAUUCAGAAGCUGUGUGUAUAGUGCGUGGGGAUCUGGCCCCAUCUGGUCCCUCUCUUGAGCCCUACUCCCUCAGGACAUCCUGGGCCCAGAAAAUCAUCCAGAAAACCUGGAACAGCCAUUCCUGAGUGUAUUCAAAAAAGGGUGGCGGAGGACACCUGUGAGGAACCUAGGCAAGGUGGUGCACUAUUCCAAGGUUCAGCUGCGGUUCCAGCACAGCCAGGACAUCAGUGACUGCUAUCUGGAACUGUUCCCCUCCCACCUGUACUUCCAGGCCCAUGGUUCUGAAGGACUUACAUUCCAGGGGCUGCUACCACUGACGGAAUUGAGCAUCUGCCCGAUUGAUGGGUCC